rnacentral:rRNA from 1 species
GAUGAACGCUGGCGGCGUGCCUAAUACAUGCAAGUCGAGCGAACAGACGAGGAGCUUGCUCCUCUUACGUUAGCGGCGGACGGGUGAGUAACACGUGGAUAACCUACCUAUAAGACUGGGAUAACUUCGGGAACCCGGAUCUAAUACCGGAUAAUAUAUUGAACCGCAUGGUUCAAUAGUGAAAGACGGUUUUGCUGUCACUUAUAGAUGGAUCCGCGCCGCAUUAGCUAGUUGGUAAGGUAACGGCUUACCAAGGCAACGAUGCGUAGCCGACCUGAGAGGGUGAUCGGCCACACUGGAACUGAGACACGGUCCAGACUCCUACGGGAGGCAGCAGUAGGGAAUCUUCCGCAAUGGGCGAAAGCCUGACGGAGCAACGCCGCGUGAGUGAUGAAGGUCUUCGGAUCGUAAAACUCUGUUAUUAGGGAAGAACAAAUGUGUAAGUAACUAUGCACGUCUUGACGGUACCUAAUCAGAAAGCCACGGCUAACUACGUG